rnacentral:rRNA from 1 species
UACGUAGGGCGCAAGCGUUGUCCGGAAUUACUGGGCGUAAAGCGCACGCAGGCGGUCUGCUAAGUUUGGAGUGACAGUUGGUGGCUUAACUGCCAAAGUGCUUCGAAAACUGACAGACUUGAGGGCUUCAGAGGGACACGGAAUUCCGGGUGGAGUGGUGAAAUGCGUAGAGAUCCGGAGGAACACCAAAGGCGAAGGCAGUGUCCUGGGGAGUACCUGACGCUCAGGUGCGAAAGCCAGGGGAGCGAACGGG